rnacentral:rRNA from 1 species
CCUACGGGAGGCUGCAGUCGAGGAUCUUCGGCAAUGGGCGCAAGCCUGACCGAGCGACGCCGCGUGUGGGAUGAAGGCCCUUGGGUUGUAAACCACUGUCAGGGGGGACGAAAUGCGCGCGGGUACUCCCGUGCGUUUGACAGAGCCCCAGAGGAAGCACGGGCUAAGUUCGUGCCAGCAGCCGCGGUAAUACGAACUGUGCAAACGUUAUUCGGAAUCACUGGGCUUAAAGGGUGCGUAGGCGGCUUAUUAAGCAGGGUGUGAAAGCCCCCGGCUCAACCGGGGAAUAGCGCUCUGAACUGAUGAGCUGGAGCGAGGCAGGGGUGCGCGGAACUUCCAGUGGAGCGGUGAAAUGUGUUGAUAUUGGAAGGAACACCGGAGGCGAAAGCGGCGCACUGGGUCUUGUCUGACGCUGAGGCACGAAAGCCAGGGGAGCAAACGGGAUUAGAUACCCCGGUAGUC